UGGGGGGAGAGUGCGAACGGGUGAGUACACGUGGAUUAUCUGCCUUCAGGUCUGGGAUAGCCGCGGGAACCGGGGCUAAUACCGGAUAAUAUGGCAACAUUAAAGGUGGGGACCUUCGGGCCUAUCGCCUGAAGAUGAGUCGCGUCCCAUUAGCUUGUUGGUGGGGUAAUGGCCUACCAAGGCGACGAUNGGUAGCCGGCCUGAGAGGGUGUACGGCCACAUUGGGACUGAGAUACGGCCCAGACUCCGACGGGAGGCAGCAGUUAAGAAUCUUGCGCAAUGGGCGAAAGCCUGACGCAGCGACGCCGCGUGGACGAUGAAGGCCUUCGGGUUGUAAAGUCCGGUAAGCAGGGAAGAAUAAGUGUAAAGUAAUAUCUUGCACGAUGACGGUACCUGCCUAAAGCCCCGGCUAACUACGUGCCAGCAGCCGCGAGUAUACGUAUGGGGCAAGCGUUGAUCGGAAUUAUUGGGCAUAAAGGGCGUCUAGGCGGGGGACUAAGUUAGGUGUGAA
rnacentral:rRNA from 1 species